CAGGGAAAGAGCACUCCACCUGGGCAGAGACACUGAGCUCUACCGCAUUCUCAACAUGCACUACAAUAAGAGCAAUGAUUAUCAGGUUCCAGAGAGGUUUGUGGAGGUAUCUGAGGUGGCCCUGAGGGAGUUUUUCUCUGCCAUACAGAGUGGUCGGGAUGCUGAUCCGUGCUGGAAGAAGGCCAUCUACAAGAUCAUCGGUAAAUUAGACAGUCCUGUGCCUGACAGCUUCCGUCUGCCUGGCUGCCCCACGGACUCUUACCGGAUGGGUUAAACAGAGUUUAUCACACACACACACAUGCACAGCCUCAUAAAAACACUGUGCAUGGAUUGAUAUCAUAAGUGUGCACAGAACAGCUAACAAUUUGAAUUAAUGGCAAAGAACGAAGAAAAUACAAAAUUGUGCAGUAAAGAUUGAGAACAUUGAAUAAGUGGUUUAUUAUCAUCAUCACGAUGCUCUAAAGUAUUUCUUGUUUAAACAUUAUCUGACUGAUAAUUCUACUUUAGUCCUGCAUUAUUCCAGUAGGCACUGAAAAGCUUUCUAAAUAAAUGGAAAAAAUGUUCUAAUUUGAUUUGCUGUUACAUUAAUGCUUAAGUUAUCUGAAAAUGCAGGCCUGGUUGUCUUAUGAUUUUUUAUAUUACUUGUUAUAUAAUGUUGCGCGAGUUUCUGUGAACCUGUGGUGUCGUGUAAUAAAAUAAGUCAAACACU